rnacentral:rRNA from 1 species
CCGUUCGCCGGAAGACCAAGGGUUCCUGUCCAACGUUAAUCGGGGCAGGGUGAGUCGGCCCCUAAGGCGAGGCUGAAAAGCGUAGUCGAUGGGAAACGGGUUAAUAUUCCCGUACUUGGAUAAACUGCGAUGUGGGGACGGAGCAGGUUAGGUUAUCGCACUGUUGGAUAUGUGCGUUUAAGUUUGUAGGUGUGAAGUUUAGGCAAAUCCGGACUUCUUUAACACUGAGAGAUGAUGACGAGGCUCUACGGAGCUGAAGUAACCGAUACCACACUUCCAGGAAAAGCCACUAAGCUUCAGGUUUAUCUAAACCGUACUGAAAACCGACACAGGUGGUCAGGUAGAGAAUACUCAGGCGCUUGAGAGAACUCGGGUGAAGGAACUAGGCAAAAUAGCACCGUAACUUCGGGAGAAGGUGCGCCGGCGUAGAUUGUAGUCCCUUGCGGAUGAAGGUUGAACCGGUCGAAGAUACCAGCUGGCUGCAACUGUUUAUUAAAAACACAGCACUCUGCAAACACGAAAGUGGACGUAUAGGGUGUGAUGCCUGCCCGGUGCUGGAAGGUUAAUUGAUGGUGUAAUCGAAAGAGAAGCUCCUGAUCGAAGCCCCAGUAAACGGCGGCCGUAACUAUAACGGUCCUAAGGUAGCGAAAUUCCUUGUCGGGUAAGUUCCGACCUGCACGAAUGGCAUAAUGAUGGCCAGGCUGUCUCCACCCGAGACUCAGUGAAAUUGAAAUCGCCGUGAAGAUGCGGUGUACCCGCGGCUAGACGGAAAGACCCCGUGAACCUUUACUAUAGCUUGACACUGAACAUUGAAUUUUGAUGUGUAGGAUAGGUGGGAGACUUUGAAGUAGUCACGCCAGUGAUUAUGGAGUCGUCCUUGAAAUACCACCCUUUAACGUUUGAUGUUCUAACGAAGAUUACGAAACGUGGUCUCGGACAGUGUCUGGUGGGUAGUUUGACUGGGGCGGUCUCCUCCCAAAGAGUAACGGAGGAGCACGAAGGUUUGCUAAUGACGGUCGGACAUCGUCAGGUUAGUGCAAUGGUAUAAGCAAGCUUAACUGCGAGACAGACAAGUCGAGCAGGUACGAAAGUAGGUCAUAGUGAUCCGGUGGUUCUGAAUGGAAGGGCCAUCGCUCAACGGAUAAAAGGUACUCCGGGGAUAACAGGCUGAUACCGCCCAAGAGUUCAUAUCGACGGCGGUGUUUGGCACCUCGAUGUCGGCUCAUCACAUCCUGGGGCUGAAGUAGGUCCCAAGGGUAUGGCUGUUCGCCAUUUAAAGUGGUACGCGAGCUGGGUUUAGAACGUCGUGAGACAGUUCGGUCCCUAUCUGCCGUGGGCGUUGGAGAAUUGAUUGGGGCUGCUCCUAGUACGAGAGGACCGGAGUGGACGCACCACUGGUGUUCCGGUUGUGUCGCCAGACGCAUUGCCGGGUAGCUAAGUGCGGAAGAGAUAAGUGCUGAAAGCAUCUAAGCACGAAACUUGCCAAGAGAUGAGUUCUCCCAGAUUUUAAAUCUGUAAGGGUUGUUUAAGACUAAGACGUAGAUAGGUCUGGUGUGUAAGCGGUGCGAGCCGUUGAGCUAACAGAUACUAAUUGCCCGAGAGGCUUAACUAU